AGUCGAACGGUAACAGGUCUUCGGACGCUGACGAGUGGCGAACGGGUGAGUAAUACAUCGGAACGUGCCCGAUCGUGGGGGAUAACGAGGCGAAAGCUUUGCUAAUACCGCAUACGAUCUACGGAUGAAAGCGGGGGAUCUUCGGACCUCGCGCGGACGGAGCGGCCGAUGGCAGAUUAGGUAGUUGGUGGGAUAAAAGCUUACCAAGCCGACGAUCUGUAGCUGGUCUGAGAGGAUGAUCAGCCACACUGGGACUGAGACACGGCCCAGACUCCUACGGGAGGCAGCAGUGGGGAAUUUUGGACAAUGGGCGAAAGCCUGAUCCAGCCAUGCCGCGUGCAUGAUGAAGGCCUUCGGGUUGUAAACUGCUUUUGUACGGAACGAAAAGCCUCUUUCUAAUAAAGAGGGGUCAUGACGGUACCGUAAGAAUAAGCACCGGCUAACUACGUGCCAGCAGCCGCGGUAAUACGUAAGGUGCAAGCGUUAAUCGGAAU
rnacentral:rRNA from 1 species